GUGUUAACCCACUAUUUGGAGGUCCCUAAGUAGCGUGGAAGUAUUGUUUGGAUCAUCCAACUACUCAUUUUGCCCAUUUGCAAACCCUAGCCUAUUGGUGGAUUGAAGAAGAAAGACCUUGGGGAGCCCGAGGCGUAGAUUGGGAUUUACUUUAGAUUGACUAUUUUGGAGUGCGUACGAGGUAUGUAAAGCAACCUUCUUUUCUUGGCAUGCCUUAGUUUCACAUAGGCUAGAUUAGAGCCUUAAGGAAAUUCCAAAUCCGACAUCCGAGCAUGAUAUGAUCUAUAUAUUCCUUGGCACUCCUAUGUAUGAUUUGAUGAAAAAUGAACCAUUAUGUUUUUGAAAGAAGGGAUUUCCAAACUUUGUACAAAA